rnacentral:snoRNA from 1 species
GUCUGAGGUGAUUCCCUCUCCAAGGGUGCAAAUAGUGCCCAUCUCAGGAAAGUAGCAAUUGGAGUUGUAUCUGGCGAGCCUGAUCAAGGUCUUUAGGAGAGAGGGGAUGUUUUUCCUUUGCCUUCCUUUAAUACAUACCUGA